CUCCCCGGCGAAUCGAACCCCGGUCUCCCGCGUGACAGGCGGAUACUGACCACUAUCACCGAGGA